CGCCAUUCAACGUGCACACGCAAUUCAGCUAGGCACGUCCCCGCCAGGAGACUGUCUGGACUCUGUCUGAAACUGAUAAAACACAACAUGGACUUUAACUCCCUCUAUAUUCGCCCCCCAUUAGAGAAAUACAACGAAAGGAUGGAUUUUACGUCUCGCUGGAAGCGCCGCCAUCACCCUAGCUUUACAGUCAACCAGAGUGACGAAACGAAAGUUUAUUGUCAGUCUACAAUUGUCAGCAGACAGUUCUUUAUGACCAGCUGGAGUCUUCCUUAUCCGAGUCAAAGAGCACCGAAACCUAGCCGAAGAUCUGGUCCUGCCUAGCCCAGGACUUGGCCCAGGACCUGACCCAGGCCUUGGCCCAUGGGAGCUGGUGGUGGUUGAGGAAGAGGAGGAAGAAGAUGUCCUGCUAGGUGUGGUGGUCCAAGAGGAGGUGUUGUUGCUAGGACUGAUGUAACAUGGAGCGCCACGAAGAGGAAGAGGAGGAAGAUGUCAGCGUGAAACUAGAAGAGGAGGAAGAUGUCACCUUGAAGCUGGAUGAUAAGGAAGAUGUUAGCGUUGAGAUAGAGAAGGAGGAAGAGGAGGAUGAGUAGGAGGAUGAGGAAGAUGUCAGCAUGGAGCUAGAUGAUGGGGAACCAUUGUGAGUGACAGGGAGGUCCCAGGAGACAGGAGGAGACUGAGGUGAGUAGGAUCUGCCCUUGACCCUGUCUGGCUUCCUGUUGCCUGGCAACAGAAGCAGAGAAGGCCAGGUUUGUCAUCACUGUACCGUCGACAACUCAAUUUAAAGCAGCCUGCCAUUUUAUUAUCGCCAGUGGAAACUUACUAGGUCUUAUCUUGUGUAUAUUAUGACUAAAUUGUAUUACUAUAAAUCAGUGCUGAGAUUCGACCCACAGUGAAAGGUGCUUAAAUUAUUUUACUACUAUUAUACUACACGUUUCAUCUUACGGCUAUGUAUGUAUUUUUGUCCCUAAAGCUGAAAGUGUGCACGAUUACUAUUCAAUCGCAACUAUUGAAACCCUAUGGUAUUUAGCCACUGAUAAGGUCUCCAUGAAGCGGGCGGUGGUUUCUCUGAUGCAUCCGACCACACCAGGCCCUCGUCCUCCUCUCUGUGUUGGAAGAGAAACUUGCGUAUGAAACAGUUGAACAGUACUGAACCAACAGACUGUGGCGUUGUUAUGCCUAGCAGAGUUUAGAAACACUGUGCCGCAGUGGUUUUUACCUCAGAUCCAUGCCUGUGGUUCUGAAUGUUGAGCCUUAGGGUGCUGGGUGCUAUGGAGAGGUGGGUACACGCAACACACACAAAUAAAUACUGAUAAAAUAUUUAAUCACUGCAAUCACUCUCAAUGUAUUGCUGCAGUCCACAUGAUAUAACCUGUACGAAAUAUGUACUAAAACGUGAUACAGCACAGCCCCUAAUAUGAUCGAGAACCUUAUAUUUGUUAUAAUUUGAUCAACUUGAGUGAGUAAAUGGUGCUAGUCUCCACCCUUAAACAUUACACAUUGUUAUACAUGAUUAAACAUUAAUGCUGUGGUUUAUUGUUCUUUUUUUCCUCAAGGUAUCUAUUGUCUCCAGCUCCUUUGCUUAUUUGUUUGUGAUCGUUAAUUUUUUCCAACACAAUAAAUAACUGUUGAGCAACA